UACGUAGGUGGCAAGCGUUGUCCGGAUUUACUGGGCGUAAAGAGCGCGCAGGCGGUCGUUCAAGUCGAGUGUGAAAGCCCCCGGCUCAACUGGGGAGGGUCAUUCGAUACUGUUCGACUCGAAGGCAGGAGAGGGAAGUGGAAUUCCCGGUGUAGUGGUGAAAUGCGUAGAUAUCGGGAGGAACACCGGUGGCGAAGGCGGCCAACUGGACCAUUACUGACGCUGAGGCGCGAAAGCGUGGGGAGCAAACAGG
rnacentral:rRNA from 1 species